rnacentral:rRNA from 1 species
GACGCAGGUGGCAAGCGUUGUUCGGAAUCACUGGGCAUAAAGCGCACGUAGGCGGCGACGUAAGUCGGGUGUGAAAUCCCUCGGCCUAACCGAGGAACUGCGCCCGAUACUGCGUAGCUUGAGGACCAAAGGGGUGCACGGAAUUUCCGGUGGAGCGGUGAAAUGCGUUGAUAUCGGAAGGAACGUCGGCGGCGAAAGCGGUGCACUGGUUGGUAACUGACGCUGAGGUGCGAAAGCCAGGGGAGCAAACGGG